rnacentral:lncRNA from 1 species
UUGUUUUCUUUGUUUCUUUGUUAUUAAAGAGUAAUGGAUAGUUUCUGAAUAUUGAGAAAAGAGUCUGUGGAAUGAAUCAAAGAUUGAUUUAUGAGUUAUUGAUUAUGUAAUUGGAGUACUGAGUGAUUGAAUUAUAUGAGAAAUUAUUGGAAGAUUGAUUAUGGAUGGAAGAUUAUGAUUGUUGUUUAUUGAGAGUUGUGUGUGUGUGUUUUGACAGAGAAAGUCUGUGAUUAUAGUAAUUCUGUGAAUUGAGAUUGGUUGGAGUGAAGUCUAUUAUUCUUAGUGUUGGAUGGAAUUUAUUGAGUUUUGAGCGGUAUUUUGAGAGUACAGGGUUGCACAUUGUGGUUAUCAGUUGAUGAAGG